rnacentral:rRNA from 1 species
UACGUAGGGGGCGAGCGUUGUCCGGAAUUAUUGGGCGUAAAGAGCGUGUAGGCGGUUCGGUAAGUCUGCUGUGAAAUCCUGGGGCUCAACCCCGGGCGUGCAGCGGAUACUGCCGGGCUAGAGGGUGGUAGAGGCGAGUGGAAUUCCCGGUGUAGCGGUGAAAUGCGCAGAUAUCGGGAGGAACACCAGUAGCGAAGGCGGCUCGCUGGGCCACACCUGACGCUGAGACGCGAAAGCGUGGGGAGCGAACAGG